GACGAACGCUGGCGGCGCGCUUAACACAUGCAAGUCGAACGGAAAGGCCCUGCUUAUGGGGGGUGCUCGAGUGGCGAACGGGUGAGUAACACGUGAGUAACCUGCCCUUGACCUUGGGAUAACUUCAGGAAACUGAGGCUAAUACCGGAUAGGAGCACCUGCCGCACGGUGGGGGUUGGAACGCUUCGGCGGUUGGGGAGGGACUCGCGGCUUAUCAGCUUGUGGGCGGGGUAGUGGCUUACCAAGGCGUUGACGGGUAGCCGGCCUGAGAGGGUGACCGGCCACAUUGGGACUGGGGUACGGCCCAGACUCCUACGGGAGGCAGCAGUGGGCAGUAUUGCACAAUGGGCGGCCGCCUGAUGCCGGCCCGCAGCGUGCGGGAUGCGGGCCAUCGCGUUGUAGUCCGCUUUCGCAUGUGCCGAAGCCUUAGUGACGGUAAUGGGUAAAGACGCACCGGCUACCUACGUG
rnacentral:rRNA from 1 species